ACAGAGCAGUAUAAACAAAUAAUUGUCUGUGAAAUUUUAGUUUGUACUGACUUCGCUAGUGCUUUUUAUGUAGCCUGUUGUAAAACUAGGCAAAUAUCUAGAUGAACUGAUGUAACCCGGAAGACCUCCUGGCUGAGAACCACUGCUCUAAUCAUCUGGUCAUUACAAAAUGUAUCUUCACCCAGCAUCCUAGAUGUUUGUACACAUGGAAGUCAGCUGAUGGUAAGACAAAGAACUAAAUAAGCUGUUUAAUGAUACAGCAACACUGAGUGUGGGCUGUGGGUCAGAUUAUCAGCUAUUAGCCUCAAACAUAAAAUUAAAACUACAAAAGACACUUCUUAACCAACCUCAGAUAUGCUGAUGGUAUGAUACUCUUUGCUACAAUCACCAAUGCAAUGAAACAAAUGUAAAAAGAAUUAGUAAGGAAUACAGACUAUUCCUGAAUGCAACAAAAACAAAAUUAUGUACAUUGACAUGAUGACUAAGAAAAACAGGAUGGAAGCAGACAUCUUGAUUAACACAAAGCUGCAGCGGCAGCAGAUUAAUUUAAUUAACUGAGAUCAUAUAUAUCCAGCCAACGAGGCUGUUCCAAAGAAAUCAGAAGACAACCAGGGAUCACUUGCUCAGCUAUGGCCUCCCUUAAGAAAGUAUUGAAAAACUGUGGCAUCUUGAAAUGUACAAAAGUGUGACUAGUGAAAAACCUUAAUUUAUUCCAUAGCGAUUUGGGUGUGAAUCAUGGAAAGUUAAUAUUGCUGAUAGGAAGAAAAUAAAAGCUUUGAAAAUGUGGUACUGGGAAAGACUCUUGUAUAUCUCCUGGAUGGGAAAAAAGAUGAAUGCAGAUGUUAGAAGUAUUACUGGAGAAAAGCAGACCCUGAUGUUGGAAAUUAACAUGCAAUCUUAUGUAUUUUGGUCUUAUUAAGCAUAGAGAUGGAAAUAACCUUGAGAAAAAAUUAAGGGAGGAAUGGUGGAGGAUCAUCAUAGCAUGGGACAACCAGUGAGGAAAUGGUGGAUGGUUUGUGGCUGAUCAUGGGAAGGUCAGCUACUGAGUGCUCAAAAUUAGUGCUGGACCAUGAAGGUUUAAGGCAGGACUAGUCAAUAGGUGGAUCACCAGCAGGGUUGCCAGUCCUCCAGAUUAAUCUUUAAUUAAAGACUGUCAUGUGAUGAAAUCUCUAGGAAUAUACCCAACCAAAACUGGCAACCCUAACUGCCUGCCACUUUUGAACAGAUCCUGGAAUCUUUUUAUCUACGUGCCAUCAUUAUUAUUGUUGUUUUUAUUAUUUUCUCUGAAGCCUGGACCUUGACCAAGAAAUUUGGACCUUGACAAAAAAUAAAUUGACUACCCCUAGCUUAAGGAAAUCCUGCUACGAUGUCAUUGAUAUUCAGACAUGAAUAAAUCGGUUUACUUAUUAGUGUAACUGUCUGAAUGUUUACCAUUCAACCCAAGUUUCUCCUUUCUUCAUUUGAUCCUGUUUCUCCUAGUGCCACCCUAUCAAGGUAAUGGGACUUUGUUCAUUCCACUGUAGGCCAUCUGUAAACAGGAGGUAUUCCAGAACCACUUCUUAAGACAUGCAACGAUCUUGCACAAGAUGACGACUUUGGAAAUCACCACUGAGAACUGCAAACUGGGAUGAUCUAUCAGCAACAAUGGAAAAGAGCCACUGUUGAAUUGUGUCUCAAUAACUCAAAUAUUUAAUUGGAUUAUUUUACAUAAUAUAUGAGAGGUGUAGGGUAACUAUCUAAGAAAUGAACUAAGAACUGAUUUAAGCUUUGCCACAGACUUCUUAUGGCAUUUAACUGCUCUAACUUUCCUUAUCUACAAUGACAGGUUUCAGAGUAACAGCCGUGUUAGUCCGAUGAAGUGAGCUGUAGCUCACGAAAGCUUAUGCUCAAAUAAAUUGGUUAGUCUCCAAGGUGCCACAAGUACUCCUUAUCUACAAUGGUGAUAAUACCUCUCAGAGGUUUUCCAGUUUACUUCAGUGCUAUUGAAUUAGAUCAUAAACAUCAUGAAAUAAGCCACAGGGUGGCAGUGUUUUAUAGUUUGAGAGCUAUCACUACGCUUUAUAGUUUAGCUUCCAAGGAUAAUUUCAACAAGGAGCCCUGAAUUUUGUCUAGCAUUAAAUAGUCCCUGGGACAAACUGAAUACCCCCAAUUACAUUUCUCCUCUCCCCCAACAAUAUUUAUUUCAGCUUAUGAAAGGUUAAAAAAGGAUCCUAAAACUGGGCACUCGUGAUACAGUUUACAAAAUCAUUAGUUGCUAAUUCCACAACAGCAUAACAACUCAACUUCAUAUAAACUCAGAGAACUCUCCAGCCUUCUCUUUUGCAAAACCACACACACACACACCCCCCUCUCCUUAGAGAACUGAAAUGUCUCAUUUAUCUCCUUUAUGCAUAGUUAUACAUGCUGGAGCACUUGUCCUUCAUUAACGUUACAGACAAUGAUGUUACCAAUUCAUGAUUUUGUUGAUGGUCUUAUGAUAUUGUUUGCUGGUUUGGCUGAUUUUGUUCCUGGUUUUAUGAUAUUUUGGUGCUCCUCUUAAAGCCCCAGGGCCUUGAAUCAUGAUUACACAAGACAGCUUUCAUUUAAAAGCAAAGGUAGUUUCUAGCCCUCAUGGCUACAGAGAAACGCUUGAAUACACAAACCCUAAAAACCUCAAAAAUCCAGAAGGCAAGUAAAGUACCCCCAAUUUUUUUUUUUUUUUUUUUAAAUCUCAUGAGUUUGGGGGGAGAGGGGUCUGACUCAUGUUUUUUGAACGCUUGAAGUUCACAAUAUUAUAACAGCUGUGAACUUUCUUAUUUUGUUUUUUUAUCCAACCUAAUACACCUGAAUGAUAAUAACCCAUUAGCUCAUAGAAAUAUCAUUUGUUGCCUGUAGCACUCACUGUAAGCAGUGACAUAACUGCAUAACAAAACAUGACUCGUGAAUAUGUUGGAAUUGUAUCAUGAUCACUCUGCUUACACAGAAUCUUGGAUUGAGCAAAAUCAAUUCAAACAAAACUAUGAAGUUUAAGAUGCGUUUUAGACAGACCCAUUUUGAAAAUAUAUUUUCUUUUAAACAUUCUAAACUAUGAAUAAUAUAGUAGAGAUCAUUUAUUACAAUUCAGGAUACUGCACCUUAAAAAAAAAGUUAGAGUGGGAAUUUUUCUCCAGAAUCUAAAAAUUAAAUCUUGGGUUUAAUGAUUUUUUUUUUUAAACAGUUCCCCAGAAUUCAUGUGGGCCCUCCCCAGAUUUAGACUUUCUAGCUGCAGAACUAUUCAGCUAGCUGAGGGUACACGAGUUAAACAAGAAAAUACACCAAACUAUUUUUGACACAGAGCUGUUCUUCAGGUCUGUGAAGGACACUCAGGCCUGGUCUACACUACAGAGUUAGGUUAACGCAAGAAAGCUUCCACUGACCUAACUCUGUAAGCGUCUACACUAAAACGUCGCUCCUGCCGAUGUAUUUUGCCCACUAUGCCAACUUAACUCCACCCCUGCAAGAGGCGUAGCUCUUAGGUUUACAUAGUUAGGGCGACAGUAUCAGUGCAGACACUGUGUUAGUUAGACUUUAGUGGCUUCCAGGUGGUGUCCCACAAUGACCCAUGUGACCGCUCUUGUCACUGUUUUGAACUCCACUGCCCUGUGGCCAGAUAUGCAGGAUUACACAGGAAGUGGUGUAUCUCCUGGGUCUGUGAGAAGAAGCAGCUGUGCAGGAACAGCUCUGAUCCAAAUGCAGAAACGUCAAUAUCUACGAGCAGAUCGUUCAGGACACGGAGGAGACAGGCUACAACAGGCACACACAGUGGUGCUGCGUGAAAGUCAAAGAGCUGCAGCAGGCAUACCAGAAGACAAGGGAGGCUAACAGUCGCUCGGGUGCACAGCUGCAGACAUGCCACUUUUACAAGGAGCUGCAUGCCAUCCUCUGAAGCAACACCCCCCCCGCCAGUCCCCUCCCAAGGGCCCUGUGGAUACUUUGGAGGACUCAGUCACGGGCCACCAGAGUGAGCCCUGAGGAUGUGUUUGACUCCAGAGCAGUCAAGCCAGUCCCUAGAGUCCAGCACAGGCGAGCCUGAUGAAGGGGAAGGAACCUCUGGUUAAGUAUGUACUUUGCUUUGAUCUUGCAGGGGCACAUCUGUUCAUUUACUCUUUUUUUAAUCAGGCAAGAAGAGGCAGUGAAGUAACCGAUAGCAACUCCACCUCUAUCUGCUUCUCAUUCCUCCAUACAGAGGGGUGCCUGAAGAAUGAUUUGUGUGCACCGGGAUGUCCUGUGAACCCUCCAGAGAGAUUUUGAGGAAACUUUCCUGAAGGUAGUCUGCAAUCUUCUGCUGAAAGUUUCUAGGGAUAGCCGCCUUAUUUCUUCCACCACGGUAGGACACUUUCCCAUACCAUUCAGCAAUUCCUUCAGCAGGCACCACUGCAACACACUGGCAAGCAGCAUAUAUGGACGUGGUCUGCAGUCAGAUGCAUGCAGGAGUAGUUCCUUUUCAGCCUCCAUUACCCGCAAGAGUGAGAGAUCAGCUAAAAUCACCACUGUCUAUGGAAAACGAUGCCAGAAUUCAGUUCAAUUGCCCUAUCCACAUUUACCCCUUUCUCCCCCGGGCUGUACUCACCAUGGUUAGGACUGCUGCCAUGCUCUAUGAAUCCCAAGCAGAAGUGAUAAUGUAGUGCUUGUAACUUGUAUAGAUCAAGGGUAGUGAAUACUUUCACAAUAGGACCUCUGUGCACUGUAUUUUUUGCAGCUGGAAAUGUAGUCUUGAGGGUCUCUCCAGUCACACCAGCGGAGCAACUCAGUCAGAUAAGGAGAAGAAAGAGGAUGCGGGACAAUAUGUUCCAAGAGAUCCUGCAAGCCUUUGGUGCUGCAGACACUAAGCAGAGGGCUCGCAGGAUCAUGCUUACGGACAGAACGUACAGGCAUAAAUGUACAUGUGCACAGGAGAAAAGGAAAAGGAGAGUGACACGCAGCAGGAGAUGCUAGAGCUUUUCAAGUGGCAAUCAGAUAUGCUGGACAGUCUUGUUGACCUUCAGGUUCAACAGAUCCUUGCUUGCCUCCCUCUGCAGCCCAUAUAGACCUGCAUUACGGAACCUCCCCACACCCCCUGCAUUCCAGGUGGCAAUUGGGGCCCCUGCACUACCCCUACCACUCCACCACAGGGGAGAGUACAGACAAUCAUGGCCAUAUAUACCAACUGUGUCUCUGUAGGUCUUUGAGAAAUGAAAAUGACUGUUCUUUCCCCUUCAAAGGUUCUUUUCCCUGUAUUUAUCAAGUUUCAUUCAGUUAUAAAUAUAUGUUUGUUUACAUGUGUUUGGAAUAAAAAAGUCUAUUUAUGGAAACUUAAUUCAUCUUUAUUAGUUCACAACAUAUGCUGGCUGGGGCUGACAUCAUUCACAGAUAAUAUCAAUAGGUGCAUCUGCUAUGUUAUAUUACUACACACACACACACCACUCAUUACAAGGUUCAUAUUGGGGUGCAGACUCCCGCCCCUUUUCCCCCAUGCCAGGCACAUCACACAAUAGCAACACACAUUACUGUGA